UAGGGGGGCGAGCGUUGUCCGGGAUUUAUUGGGGCGUAAAGAGCUCGUAGGCGGUUGCGUAAGUCGGGAUGUGAAAACUCAGGGGCUCAACCCUGAGAUGCCAUUCGAUACUGCGCUGACUCGAGUCCGGUAGGGGAGCAUGGAAUUCCUGGUGUAGCGGUGAAAUGCGCAGAUAUCAGGAGGAACACCAGUGGCGAAGGCGGUGCUCUGGGCCGGUACUGACGCUGAGGAGCGAAAGCAUGGGUAGCAAACAGGAUUAGAUACCCUGGUAGUCCAUGCCGUAAACGUUGGGCACUAGGUGUGGGCCUACUUAACGGGUUCCGUGCCGUAGCUAACGCAUUAAGUCGCCCCGCCGUGGGGAGUACGGCCGCAAGGACU
rnacentral:rRNA from 1 species